GGGUUGUGAGGUUAAGCGACUAAGCGUACACGGUGGAUGCCCUGGCAGUCAGAGGCGAUGAAGGACGUGCUAAUCUGCGAUAAGCGUCGGUAAGGUGAUAUGAACCGUUAUAACCGGCGAUUUCCGAAUGGGGAAACCCAGUGUGAUUCGUCACACUAUCAUUAACUGAAUCCAUAGGUUAAUGAGGCGAACCGGGGGAACUGAAACAUCUAAGUACCCCGAGGAAAAGAAAUCAACCGAGAUUCCCCCAGUAGCGGCGAGCGAACGGGGAGCAGCCCAGAGCCUGAAUCAGUGUGUGUGUUAGUGGAAGCGUCUGGAAAGGCGCGCGAUACAGGGUGACAGCCCCGUACACAAAAAUGCACAUGCUGUGAGCUCGAUGAGUAGGGCGGGACACGUGGUAUCCUGUCUGAAUAUGGGGGGACCAUCCUCCAAGGCUAAAUACUCCUGACUGACCGAUAGUGAACCAGUACCGUGAGGGAAAGGCGAAAAGAACCCCGGCGAGGGGAGUGAAAAAGAACCUGAAACCGUGUACGUACAAGCAGUGGGAGCACGCUUAGGCGUGUGACUGCGUACCUUUUGUAUAAUGGGUCAGCGACUUAUAUUCUGUAGCAAGGUUAACCGAAUAGGGGAGCCGAAGGGAAACCGAGUCUUAACUGGGCGUUAAGUUGCAGGGUAUAGACCCGAAACCCGGUGAUCUAGCCAUGGGCAGGUUGAAGGUUGGGUAACACUAACUGGAGGACCGAACCGACUAAUGUUGAAAAAUUAGCGGAUGACUUGUGGCUGGGGGUGAAAGGCCAAUCAAACCGGGAGAUAGCUGGUUCUCCCCGAAAGCUAUUUAGGUAGCGCCUCGUGAAUUCAUCUCCGGGGGUAGAGCACUGUUUCGGCAAGGGGGUCAUCCCGACUUACCAACCCGAUGCAAACUGCGAAUACCGGAGAAUGUUAUCACGGGAGACACACGGCGGGUGCUAACGUCCGUCGUGAAGAGGGAAACAACCCAGACCGCCAGCUAAGGUCCCAAAGUCAUGGUUAAGUGGGAAACGAUGUGGGAAGGCCCAGACAGCCAGGAUGUUGGCUUAGAAGCAGCCAUCAUUUAAAGAAAGCGUAAUAGCUCACUGGUCGAGUCGGCCUGCGCGGAAGAUGUAACGGGGCUAAACCAUGCACCGAAGCUGCGGCAGCGACGCUUAUGCGUUGUUGGGUAGGGGAGCGUUCUGUAAGCCUGCGAAGGUGUGCUGUGAGGCAUGCUGGAGGUAUCAGAAGUGCGAAUGCUGACAUAAGUAACGAUAAAGCGGGUGAAAAGCCCGCUCGCCGGAAGACCAAGGGUUCCUGUCCAACGUUAAUCGGGGCAGGGUGAGUCGACCCCUAAGGCGAGGCCGAAAGGCGUAGUCGAUGGGAAACAGGUUAAUAUUCCUGUACUUGGUGUUACUGCGAAGGGGGGACGGAGAAGGCUAUGUUGGCCGGGCGACGGUUGUCCCGGUUUAAGCGUGUAGGCUGGUUUUCCAGGCAAAUCCGGAAAAUCAAGGCUGAGGCGUGAUGACGAGGCACUACGGUGCUGAAGCAACAAAUGCCCUGCUUCCAGGAAAAGCCUCUAAGCAUCAGGUAACAUCAAAUCGUACCCCAAACCGACACAGGUGGUCAGGUAGAGAAUACCAAGGCGCUUGAGAGAACUCGGGUGAAGGAACUAGGCAAAAUGGUGCCGUAACUUCGGGAGAAGGCACGCUGAUAUGUAGGUGAAGUCCCUCGCGGAUGGAGCUGAAAUCAGUCGAAGAUACCAGCUGGCUGCAACUGUUUAUUAAAAACACAGCACUGUGCAAACACGAAAGUGGACGUAUACGGUGUGACGCCUGCCCGGUGCCGGAAGGUUAAUUGAUGGGGUUAGCGCAAGCGAAGCUCUUGAUCGAAGCCCCGGUAAACGGCGGCCGUAACUAUAACGGUCCUAAGGUAGCGAAAUUCCUUGUCGGGUAAGUUCCGACCUGCACGAAUGGCGUAAUGAUGGCCAGGCUGUCUCCACCCGAGACUCAGUGAAAUUGAACUCGCUGUGAAGAUGCAGUGUACCCGCGGCAAGACGGAAAGACCCCGUGAACCUUUACUAUAGCUUGACACUGAACAUUGAGCCUUGAUGUGUAGGAUAGGUGGGAGGCUUUGAAGUGUGGACGCCAGUCUGCAUGGAGCCGACCUUGAAAUACCACCCUUUAAUGUUUGAUGUUCUAACGUUGACCCGUAAUCCGGGUUGCGGACAGUGUCUGGUGGGUAGUUUGACUGGGGCGGUCUCCUCCUAAAGAGUAACGGAGGAGCACGAAGGUUGGCUAAUCCUGGUCGGACAUCAGGAGGUUAGUGCAAUGGCAUAAGCCAGCUUGACUGCGAGCGUGACGGCGCGAGCAGGUGCGAAAGCAGGUCAUAGUGAUCCGGUGGUUCUGAAUGGAAGGGCCAUCGCUCAACGGAUAAAAGGUACUCCGGGGAUAACAGGCUGAUACCGCCCAAGAGUUCAUAUCGACGGCGGUGUUUGGCACCUCGAUGUCGGCUCAUCACAUCCUGGGGCUGAAGUAGGUCCCAAGGGUAUGGCUGUUCGCCAUUUAAAGUGGUACGCGAGCUGGGUUUAGAACGUCGUGAGACAGUUCGGUCCCUAUCUGCCGUGGGCGCUGGAGAACUGAGGGGGGCUGCUCCUAGUACGAGAGGACCGGAGUGGACGCAUCACUGGUGUUCGGGUUGUCAUGCCAAUGGCACUGCCCGGUAGCUAAAUGCGGAAGAGAUAAGUGCUGAAAGCAUCUAAGCACGAAACUUGCCCCGAGAUGAGUUCUCCCUGAGACUUUAAGUCUCCUGAAGGAACGUUGAAGACGACGACGUUGAUAGGCCGGGUGUGUAAGCGCAGCGAUGCGUUGAGCUAACCGGUACUAAUGAACCGUGAGGCUUAACCUUACAACGCCGAAGGUGUUU
rnacentral:rRNA from 1 species